rnacentral:misc_RNA from 1 species
CUAAAGAAUUAACCAAUGUAUUUGAUGGAGUCACGUUUCAAGCGUCUCCUAGAUGCCGUCGUGUUCGUAAACAGCAGCGCGAACAACAAGAGUAGCGGGAGAAAUUGGGGAGGUAUAAAUAAAAAAAAAAAUUUUAAUUACAGCAAAUGUCGUUUUCUGAAAAUGCCAAACAUAGUUAAAGUCUUAUUUAGUGGGUAUUCUUCAGCAGUAAGUGAAAAAGAAGAUGAAAAUCUGCCCUACGUCCACGCGAAUUGCUCGUGUGUCUUGGUCACCGGCAGUACCAAUUUAAUUGUCGAUACUAUGACACCCUGGGAUAGAGAUCGGAUCUUAAAGGCCUUAAAUUCGAAUGGAUUAAGUCCUGAUGAUAUUAACUAUGUGGUAUCCACACAUGGCCAUUCUGACCACACUGGCAACAACAACUUGUUUUUAAAAGCCAAACAUAUAGUAGGCUUUGCUAUUUCUGUUAAAGAUCAAUACUUUCUACAUCCAUUUGAUAGAGAUAUUCCAUUUGACAUAAGUGAAGGCAUUCAAGUAAUUCCUACACCCGGACAUACAGCAGAUGAUGUUAGCAUCAUUGUGAACACUGAAAAUCUUGGCACAGUUGUCAUAGCAGGAGAUAUUUUUGAACGUGAAGAAGAUAUUGAACACCCUGAGGUAUGGAGAGCAUGUGGUAGUAUCAAUCCUUCACAACAGGAAAAUUCUCGUGCAAUUAUAGCCAGCUUAGCGGAUUACAUUGUUCCGGGCCAUGGUCCAAUGUUUAGAGUCACAGAUACAAUGAAAAAAAAGCUCUCCAGAAAUGGUAUUGGGUGCCACCAAUGAUUGGCUACUAUUUUAUUUUGGAUUAGCAGCCAUGGUUUCAUUGUCUUUGGAUAAUAGAUAUUUCUAUUAGAAGAUUUUAAAGAUAAAUAUUAAAUCUGUGAACAUUGACAUAGGUGUUGGCUUUUGGUGGCUAACUGGUUAAUAAGUUGGGUAACUCAAGACUCAGAAGCAUCUGUAACUUUUGAACGUCAACCUACCUUGCAUGAAUGGCAAACUGCAGCAGCGAAAAAAUGCUAUUAAAGAACUUGUGCACCACAAAGUUCCUACUCCAAGGACAGGAAUUACCUUUUAACCAGAAACACUAAUCAACACUUUAAGCAAAUGCCAACUAUUGAGGAAAAGUCUACUAAUCAGAUUUGAUGAGAACGAACAGAGCUUUAACGAAGGCAAAAGUAGAUUUAGAAUCGGCACUAGCCAUAUGUACAGAAUUAACAUCAAAUGCAGCUGAAUAAGGUUAUAUUGCAAUCAGAAGAACCAAAAGCCGAAACCAUCACCAAAAUCAAUGACAGCCAAGUUGCUGCGAUGAAAAAGUUGGGAAACAGAUAGUCUAAAGUGGACCCGUUGGAAGCUAAAAAAGUAGACGUUGUCCAGUUAGAAGCUCAGUCUCAGCAGGAGAAAACCACCGGUUCAAUUGAAACAGAACUCAACCAGAAUAAACAAAAAGAAUACCAGGUAGUGUUGGCGAUAUAUCUGUACUCGAAUAGAUAUGGUAAAAUCUAUUUCCCCCCGGCAGCCGGUGGGCGCUAGUGUCAAAAUUGUCUAUUUCCCCCCGGCAGCAAAAAGGGCGCUGUGCCCUUUGCGAAGCCUGUGCUGCACAGACAGACCAAUUAAAUGUGUAUUUAAAACCUAA